rnacentral:rRNA from 1 species
CACGUAGGGCGCAAGCGUUUGUCCGGAAUUAUUGGGCGUAAAGAGCUCGUAGGCGGCUUGUCACGUCGGGGUGUGAAAGCCCGGGGGCUUAACCCCCGGGUCUGCAUUCGAUACGGGCAGGCUAGAGUGUGGUAGGGGGAGAUCGGAAUUCCUGGUGUAGCGGUGAAAUGCGCAGAUAUCAGGAGGAACACCGGUGGCGAAGGCGGAUCUCUGGGCCAUUACUGACGCUGAGGAGCGAAAGCGUGGGGAGCGAACAGG